rnacentral:miRNA from 1 species
GCCUUUUCAUGUAAAUUUCCAU